ensembl:lincRNA G730013B05Rik RIKEN cDNA G730013B05 gene
CAUUUCUUUCUUAUUUUCCCGGCGUCUUAAUUAUCACCAGCGGGAUGGACAGGAAGAAAAGUCUGGAAGACACAUUUAGGAACUUUGUCAUCGAUGCAGUUGUUUCCUGAUAACGGAUGGAGUGCCUGCUGUAUUGAGAUUAUGGGUGUGGGCCACAGUGCCCAGCCAGAUGUAUCUUCUAAUCCACCAAGGGAAUCUGAACUGUUAAUUAAUUGUUAAUUGUUAAAACAUUGCUGGGCAAAAUAGCCCCGACAUGCCGCUUGAAGCACCUGGGCAGCUCAGACAUGAACUUCCUAAACCAUGAAAAACAAGACAACAAAGAGGAUGGAAGACAGGGAGGAAAAAGUCAUCAAAGGAAAGCAGCGAGAAACCGAGAAACUGGUGUGUACUGGAUCAGAGUGAAUAAGCAGAUGUGGUUGGAAGCAUACUAUUGAUGAAAAUCACCUCAGCUAAUAGACGUAGCUCAACCAAAACAUUGGCUUACACAAUUUGCUGGAAUUCUCUGUCUUCCACUAGCGGGCUUCAGCAGAAGAUCUGAACUCUCAGCUCUGCACCAUGCCUGUCUGGAUGCUGCCAUGCUGUCACCUUGAUGAUAAUGGACUGAACCUCUGAACCUGUAAGCCAGCCCCAAUUACAUGUUGUCCUUAUAAGAGUUGCCUUGGUCAUGGUGUCUGUUCACAGCAGUGAAACCCUAGCUAAGAGAGUGAAUUCAGAUGUAGAAAUCUCCUUCAUCAGCAUCAUGUCUGCCUGCACGCUGCCGUGCUUUCCUCCGUGAUGACACGGAUUGAUCCUCUGAAACUGUAAACCAGCCCCAAUCAAACGCUUUUUAAUACAAGAGUUGCCAUGGUAAUGUGUUUCUUCAUAGCAAUAGGUCGCUAAGACCAGUGGUGUCUUGUUUUCCUGGUUAUUCAUGUUUCUUAGAGUCUUUUGUAGUUAUCUGUACAUUUGCACAAGAGAUUCUUUCCUCCAGGGUUUAUCAACUAUCUCUGACAUAGUGAUUAACUUUACCUCUGAGCUGGGGUGCAUUAAAGCAUACUUUGACUCUAAACCUAGUGAGCCAGGGCACGUGUGGAGGCUUUCAGUUCAGAGGGUAAUGAAUGUGUCUAUCAGCUCACACAGCUGGUAUCCAAAGUGUUGACAACUUGGCAGUCCUAUGCUGCGAGGACUGUUAGGGAUCCAGUGGCAAGGGCAGCAAUGGAGACAUGGGACACUCAGAUGCGUACACUUGGCCUCAAAGGCCAGCUGCAGGUAUCUGCUGGGUGACAAGUUUGGUGGCAGGCAAGUGCACAGCGGGAAAGUUUAGAGCACGAGAGGCUCAGAAGCCAUAGCUUGUAAAGGCAAAUAAAGACUCUUGGCUACAGAUUAAUGGAGUCCUCUUUGGAGCAAUGUUUUAAUUCUGUCACAUUAAAUAUUGUGAGUCCUCAGUGGUGAAAGUGUGAGGAGUUUGCAGCAGCUCCUGGGUCUGUUAAGUUUCCAGCAAAGAUGGCUCCAGAGUCCUCUUCUGAGGAGACUCUAAGGACAGCCAAGUCACAUACUCUAUUGCUGUCUCUUUUGCUCCGAGCUAUUUCCAGAUGCAUACUAUGCCAUUCUUCCUUAGUGAUCUGGGGAGAUCACCAGGCGAGUCUUUGAAAAGGUGUUCUGAAAGUUUGUGGGAUAUGGCUGUUCACCCAGCCUUUCUUUUUCUUAAGAGGGCAGUUCAUGGGCUGGUUAGUUUCUUCUCAGCCAGGGUAGUGAUGGGUUGGGGAGAGGUGUGUGAGUCAGGCAAAAUGAACCAUUUGCCCAUUGUUUUGAGGCAUUUUACUUGGGCGUUCUUCCUCCACCGUAUGCCUAUAUCUUUUACAAUGAUCACCCCCCAGUACUUCCAGAGAUAUUUACCUUCCUCGAUAGUUCAUUUGGUGGGGAGGGAGGAUGUUGUAAAAUCUGAUAUCUUACUCCAAUGUAUUGCUGUCAUCGAUUGCUACUGCCUGAUUGGAAAGCGUGACUCUAAAUCCCAGCCCUGCCUAUAACUCCAGUUUCAGUGAGUUUGGCACCCUCUCUUGGUCUUUAAAGCUCUUGCACAUACUCUCUUGUACACGUGCUCAUAAACUCAUGCAGGCUCGAACAGGUUCACAUAACUG